rnacentral:rRNA from 1 species
UACGGAGGAUGCAAGCGUUAUCCGGAAUGAUUGGGCGUAAAGGGUCCGCAGGUGGCAGUGUAAGUCUGCUGUCAAAGAAUGAGGCUUAACCUCAUCAAGGCAGUGGAAACUACACAGCUAGAGUACGGUCGGGGUAGAAGGAAUUCCUGGUGUAGCGGUGAAAUGCGUAGAGAUCAGGAAGAACACCGGUGGCGAAAGCGUUCUGCUGGACCUCAUCUGACACUCAGGGACGAAAGCUAGGGGAGCGAAUGGG